rnacentral:rRNA from 1 species
GACGGAGGGGGCAAGCGUUGUCCGGAUUUAUUGGGCGUAAAGAGCUCGUAGGCGGUUUGAUAAGUCGGGUGUGAAACCUCCAGGCUCAACCUGGAGCCGCCACUCGAUACUGUCAUGACUUGAGUCUGGUAGGGGACCACGGAAUUCCUGGUGUAGCGGUGAAAUGCGUAGAGAUCGGGAGGAACACCAGAGGCGAAGGCGGCCACCUGGACAAGCACUGACACUCAACUGCGAAAGCGUGGGGAGCAAACAGG